rnacentral:rRNA from 1 species
CGAACGGUGACGAGGAGCUUGCUCCUCUGAUCAGUGGCGAACGGGUGAGUAACACGUGAGCAACCAGCCCCAGACUCUGGGAUAACAGUUGGAAACAGCUGCUAAUACCGGAUACGAGACGGAGAGGCAUCUCUACCGUCUGGAAAGUUUUUCGGUCUGGGAUGGACUCGCGGCCUAUCAGCUAGUUGGUGAGGUAAUGGCUCACCAAGGCGACGACGGGUAGCCGGCCUGAGAGGGCGACCGGCCACACUGGGACUGAGACACGGCCCAGACUCCUACGGGAGGCAGCAGUGGGGAAUAUUGCACAAUGGGCGAAAGCCUGAUGCAGCGACGCCGCGUGAGGGAUGAAGGCCUUCGGGUUGUAAACCUCUUUCAGCAGGGAAGAAGCGAAAGUGACGGUACCUGCAGAAGAAGCACCGGCUAACUACGUGCCAGCAGCCGCGGUAAUACGUAGGGUGCGAGCGUUGUCCGGAAUUAUUGGGCGUAAAGAGCUUGUAGGCGGUUUGUCGCGUCUGCAGUGAAAAUCCGAGGCUCAACCCCGGACUUGCUGUGGGUACGGGCAGACUAGAGUAUGGUAGGGGAGACCGGAAUUCCUGGUGUAGCGGUGGAAUGCGCAGAUAUCAGGAGGAACGCCGAUGGCGAAGGCAGGUCUCUGGGCCAUAACUGACGCUGAGAAGCGAAAGCAUGGGGAGCGAACAGGAUUAGAUACCCUGGUAGUCCAUGCCGUAAACGUUGGGCGCUAGGUGUGGGACUCAUUCCACGAGUUCCGUGCCGCAGCUAACGCAUUAAGCGCCCCGCCUGGGGAGUACGGCCGCAAGGCUAAAACUCAAAGGAAUUGACGGGGGCCCGCACAAGCGGCGGAGCAUGCGGAUUAAUUCGAUGCAACGCGAAGAACCUUACCAAGGCUUGACAUAUACCGGAAACAUCCAGAGAUGGGUGCCCCGCAAGGUCGGUAUACAGGUGGUGCAUGGUUGUCGUCAGCUCGUGUCGUGAGAUGUUGGGUUAAGUCCCGCAACGAGCGCAACCCUCGUUCUAUGUUGCCAGCGCGUAAUGGCGGGGACUCAUAGGAGACUGCCGGGGUCAACUCGGAGGAAGGUGGGGAUGACGUCAAAUCAUCAUGCCCCUUAUGUCUUGGGCUUCACGCAUGCUACAAUGGCCGGUACAAAGGGCUGCGAUACCGCGAGGUGGAGCGAAUCCCC